UUUUCGUGUGUAAUCGUAUGCAGCGCAAUGUGCUAGCACACAAUCUUUUGGUUCUUUUGGUUUUCUCGCCAUCCAAGGAAUGGACCGCCGACUGUGACCUUCCUAGCUUGGCGUCGCCGUAGGAACGCAGUGAAAAGGGGCGUGUCCUAUCGAGCCAUUCAUAUGUGCGAGACAAGGUUCCCGCACCCAUCCGCUUCAGUGAGCAGGUUUUCCGGUGACUGCCUGCAAUGUGUUUCGAAAGCCUUUUUUUGUCUACAAAAUGAAGAAUGGUGCGUCCACAUCGACCUGCCUGAGUUCGCACCUCCACAGGCUGCGGCAGCUUGGACAAAGGUGGCACAUGUUGCUUUUGUUUCCAUCGCCGACGAGAGCCGGUCAAAACAUUAGGAUCGGGGAGGUUUCGGGCCGACGGCCGACAGACUUCUGGGAAAGGCGGACGGGACGCCAACCUGCAUUUGGACACGUGAUCGGGGAGGUUUCGGGCCGACGGCCGACAGACUUCUGGGAAAGGCGGACGGGACGCCAACCUGCAUUUGGACACGUGAUCGGGGAGGUUUCGGGCCGACGGCCGACAGACUUCUGGGAAAGGCGGACGGGACGCCAACCUGCAUUUGGACACUUAGUAGAUGUUAAGCAACAGACAUGAAAUCACAAAGGAAACCAAGUCGAAGUCUGAUGACAUCAGUAACCGUCUCCUCGUCGCUGCCUGGUGAAGUGGUCGGCUGUGUGACGAGAGCGUGGCCCGGUGUGCGGACCUAAGACAACAAGACAUCCGUGAGUCAAAAGUUAAGUCAACCUGUUGUGCAGCAAAUGAUCUUUGACACGAAACCUACCAGCGAGGAAGACGGGCCACUUGUUUUCUGGGCCUGAGAGCACUCGCACGGCUGCGUGUUCCUCUGCAACUCUGGAAGAAAUGUGGAAAAACAAAAAACUGGACCCAAUUGUGAAAUGAAGACAUUUCAAAGCGCGUACCGUCCAGGGGUCAAGGUCUCCCGCUUCUCAGGCUGCUCCAAAAUUUGGCUUCAGCACCUUGUGGAUGAAAGGAAGCAACAAGAAAAACAUUUUUGGUGUGCAGCGUUUCACCUUGUAGGAAAGAUCGCCCCGGAAUGACGAGGAACAUGGAAGUGGACACAUUUUUUGUGGUUAACUGUCGACCGCAACCUUCGGCAGAAGCUGUUUGAGUGUGACGAGAGGAACAGUCUUCGUAUCAAAUGUCUUCUGAAGACUCCACGGUGGUACAGACUUCUCCAGGAGACCUGAACACAACAAGAGAUUAACGGGGAACCAGUCAAGCUGCUGUUGUAUGUAUUAGCAAGGCAACAAGGCUGAAGGCAGCGUUGAGGACCUUCUGCACGUUCAUGUAGAACUUGUCUCUUUUCCCCAGCAGGUGGAGGAGCUUGCUGGCCGAGUCCCCGAUGGCACUUGGACUGGAAGCUGACCUGCAUAUGGAGUCAAAGGAAAAAGCAGGCGAGGGCACUUCAAACUUAAAUUUGCUGAGCUUGUUUUGUAGCUUACGUCACCUCUCAACAUGUUGGACAGAAAGUUGACCAUGACGCAAUGUUUCCACCACCUACAACAAGAAACCAAGUAUUUGGAUUCAUCAAGUCUGUCAUUGCAAAAGGUUCCAACCAUGAUUGAAAUUUACUUCAGGAGAUCAGGUUCUCCAGGGAUCCUUCAGCGCCACCUGGUGGACGUGCACAUGAAGAACAUCCAAGUGUCCAGGACCAAGAAGCUCCCAAUGACUUCAAACAAGAGGCUAUCAUGACUGCAGCCAAAACGCAUCAAGAAAGGACAGCGCUGGAAAGUCAUCUCAGGUAGACUGGAACCUUCUGCUUGAACAAGAACAGUCUUCGUUUCAAACGACUCAGGCCUUCUGAGUGGACUGGUGGCGUGAGACUUCUCCAGGAGAUCUGAAACCAAGAGAUGAACGAGGGACCAGUCAAGCUGCUGUUUACAGGUGGAGGAUCUUGGUAGCAGAGUCCCCCGAUGGCACUUUGACUGGAAGCCGACCUGCAUGUGGAGUCAAAAAGAAAAAGCAGGUCCCAUACUUAGAGAUCUACUUCACCAGUUGAUCCAUGAUCAGGUUCUCCAGAAUUCUUCGGCACCACCUGCUGGACGUGAGCAAGUCCCAAGCUUAGAGUUCCACUUCACCUUUAGCUUGACCACUACUACUGCAACAAGAACCAUCCUCGUAUCAAACGACUGAAGCCUUCAGAGUGGACUGGUGGUGCAGAGACUUCUCCGGGAGACCUGAACACAACGAGAUGAACGAGGGACCAGCCAAGCUCAUAUUUAGAUCUUGGUGGCCGAGUCCCCGAUGGCACUUUGACUGGAAGCCGACCUGCAUGUGGAGUCAUAGAAAAAGCAGGUCCAAGCUUAGAGAUCUACUUCACCAGUUGAUCCAUGAUCAGGUUCUCCAGAAUUCUUCGGCACCACCUGGUGGACGUGAGCAGGUCCCAAGCUUAGAGUUCCACUUCACCUUUAGCUUGACCACUACUACUGCAACAAGAACCAUCCUCGUAUCAAAUGACUGAAGCCUUCAGAGUGGACUGGUGGCGCAGAGACUUCUCCGGGAGACCUGAACACAACGAGAUGAACGAGGGACCAGCCAAGCUCCUAUUUAGUGGAGGAUCUUGGUAGCAGAGUCCCCCGAUGGCACUUUGAAUGGAAGCCGACCUGCAUGAAGAGUCAAAAAGAAAAAGCAGGUGAGGGUCCCAAGCUUAGAGAUCUACUUCACCAGUUGAUCCAUGAUCAGAUUCUCCACAAUUCUUCGGCACCACCUGGUGGACGUGAGCAGCAAGAACAUGCUACUGUCCAGGAGCGAGAAGAACAAAACCCAAAGGUUACUGCUGGAAAGUCAUCUCGGGUGUCCUUACCCUCCUUCAGUCCAUCAGAUUCUUCCUGGGUUGAUACAAAAGCACCACAACAUUAAACGUUAACCCCAACAUUUGGUGUUGCCAUCGAGUGAGUGUUCCCACCUGAACUGUGAUGACGUCGCUGGAGGCUGCCUGGUCAGCUCGUGCUUAAAGAAAUGAGUCACUUUUGUUUUUUUACAUGUAUGAAAGUUUCUCACCAGUGAGGCGAGCAGGGCGCAGCCGGACGCCUCGUCAGCGACGGCCUGAAAGACACAACAACACGGUUAGCGUUCGACGUCUCCCAAUUCAGCACCACGAGCCAGUUUGACUUCGCAACGUGACAAUUGAGCGAGGAGUUUAUCAGUAGACCCACAAAAGGCUCAAGAGGCCUGCCCCAAAAGUCACAGGAAGUCAGCCAUUUUGUUGAAGAUUUGAACCUGUAAUCAGAAAUGAGAAUUAACCCAAAGACAAUUACUUGAUUUAUUCUGUUUAAUAAAGGAUAUGCUGUGUAGAGAAA